UACGAAGGAUUCGAGCGUUAUCCGGAUUUAUUGGGUUUAAAGGGUGCGUAGGCGGACUGAUAAGUCAGUGGUGAAAGCCUGUUGCUUAACAACAGAACUGCCAUUGAUACUGGCAGUCUUGAGUAUAGUUGAGGUAGGCGGAAUGUGUCAUGUAGUGGUGAAAUACUUAGAUAUGACACAGAACACCGAUUGCGAAGGCAGCUUGCUAAACUAUAACUGACGCUGAGGCACGAAAGCAUGGGGAGCAAACAGG
rnacentral:rRNA from 1 species